AUUGAACGCUGGCGGCAGGCCUAACACAUGCAAGUCGAACGAGUGGCGGACGGGUGAGUAAUGUCUGGGAAACUGCCCGAUGGAGGGGGAUAACUACUGGAAACUGUAGCUAAUACCGCAUACCAUCGGAUGUGCCCAGAUGGGAUUAGCUCUUAGGUGGGGUAACGGCUCACCUAGGCGACGAUCCCUAGCUGGUCUGAGAGGAUGACCAGCCACACUGGAACUUAGACACGGUCCAGACGCCUACGGGAGGAAGCAGUGGGGAAUAUUGCACAAUGGGCGCAAGCCUGAUGCAGCCAUGCCGCGUGUAUGAAGAAGGCCUUCGGGUUGUAAAGUACUUUCAGCGGGGAGGCGUUACCCGCAGAAGAAGCACCGGCUAACUCCGUGCCAGCAGCCGCGGUAAUAC
rnacentral:rRNA from 1 species